CCUACGGUGAGCUGCAGUGGGGAAUAUUGGACAAUGGGGGGAACCCUGAUCCAGCGACGCCGCGUGAGUGAAGAAGUAUUUCGGUAUGUAAAGCUCUAUCAGCAGGGAAGAAAAUGACGGUACCUGACUAAGAAGCCCCGGCUAACUACGUGCCAGCAGCCGCGGUAAUACGUAGGGGGCAAGCGUUAUCCGGAUUUACUGGGUGUAAAGGGCGUGUAGCCGGGUUGACAAGUCAGAUGUGAAAUCCUGCGGCUUAACCGCAGAACUGCAUGUGAAACUGUUGAUCUUGAGUACUGGAGAGGCAGACGGAAUUCCUAGUGUAGCGGUGAAAUGCGUAGAUAUUAGGAGGAACACCAGUGGCGAAGGCGGUCUGCUGGACAGCAACUGACGGUGAGGCGCGAAAGCGUGGGGAGCAAACAGGAUUAGAUACCCCUGUAGUC
rnacentral:rRNA from 1 species